rnacentral:tRNA from 1 species
AGACAAAAACUGAUCUUGAUGUCUGAGAUAUUUUUCCUUAGGCCGAGAUCCUGUCACCUUAGGUCGAUCGGUACCUCAGAUUAGAGAAAAAUCAAUUUCUUUCUCUAAUUUCAGUUCCUAAACUUGUCUAGGUCACACCCCGCAAGGGUUACUCCUGGGCCAUUAGCUCAGGUGGUUAGAGCGCACCCCUGAUAAGGGUGAGGUCCCUGGUUCAAGUCCAGGAUGGCCCAUUCGGUGUUGGGGGUAUAGCUCAGUUGGUAGAGCGCCUGCUUUGCAAGCAGGAUGUCAGCGGUUCGAGUCCGCUUACCUCCACUGGCCGACCCCUUUCAGCAAAAAAGUUGAGAGCCUUUGUGUGAUGUGAUUUAGUCCUAAAUUCCACUGUUUGAACCUAGCUUCCUUUCAUUCAAACUUCUUAUGAAAGUUGUGUUGAAAGGAUGCUGGGCUCACUUCAAUUUAAAUUUAAAUUGAAGAGAUCUUCAGUAGAACCUUGACAACUGCAUAGGUGAGUCUGGAAAAGAAAAAAGCAUCUCAUGGAUGCAUUGUUUUCUUAUUACUUUUUCUUUGGUAAACCCACAGAAAAAUAUAGGGAAUAAUGUUAUUUUAUUGAGUAAAAGCCGAGAUCUAUCCUGAUUUAUUGCUAUUUUUUUAAUAGUUAUUUUAGAGAUAGAUAUCAUUUUU